AACACUUCAACUCGGUUACUAUCCAACCCUUCCAGUUGGUUCAUAUUAGCAUUUUCUUUAAAUACCAUCGCCGAAUGUUUUAAGGGAUCUAGUACGUCUUCUUUUAAUGCCACCGCCACCCUAAGGCCCUUCAAAAAUUGGAUUAAAAUGAAAAAACAAAUUUGUUGUAGAAGCUUCAACUGGCCUACUGCCACUUGCACCGAUCGACUCACCAAGACUACUACUGGAACCUGCAUGGACGAUAGUAGCUGCAUUCAAACUACCUUUUUCCAGCUGGGCUAAAAUUGAUUUAGAAGGACCCCCAC
rnacentral:lncRNA from 1 species